rnacentral:misc_RNA from 1 species
GUGAGUCAUCGAAUCUUUGAACGCACCUUGCGCUCGUUGGUAUUCCGACGAGCAUGCCUGUUUGAGUGUCAUUAAUUUCUCAACCUCAUCGCUUUUGUGAUGAUGGCUUGGAUGUGGAGGUUUUCUGCAGGCCGAAAGGUCUGCUCCUCUCAAAUGAAUUAGUGGGUGCCCCGCGCAAACCUAUCUAUUGGUGUGAUAAUUAUCUACGCCGUGGAUCUUAGGAUUGCUGUAAAAAGGUGUUUGCCCUGCUUCUAACCGUCUUCGGACAACUUGAACCAUUUGACCUCAAAUCAGGUAGGA